rnacentral:rRNA from 1 species
UACGUAGGGUGCGAGCGUUAAUCGGAAUUACUGGGCGUAAAGCGUGCGCAGGCGGUUUUGUAAGCCAGAUGUGAAAGCCCCGGGCUUAACCUGGGAAUGGCAUUUGGGACUGCAAGGCUUGAGUGCGGCAGAGGAGACUGGAAUUCCUGGUGUAGCAGUGAAAUGCGUAGAUAUCAGGAGGAAUACCGAUGGCGAAGGCAGGUCUCUGGGCUGACACUGACGCUCAUGCGCGAAAGCCAGGGGAGCGAACGGG